CCUGAUUCUUGAAGUGAGUCUCAGCUCUUGAGAAUUCAGUGAAGCAAGUAGCAACAGGAGUCAGCAGCCACAUAUACUGAUUCUGAAGAGACAUGAAGUCACGCAGGAGCUGCUGGUCUAUCCUACUGUUCCUCGAACCUGCAGCUCAGCGACAGUGGAGUCUACAGCGUCACCUUCAAAGUACCACAGCAAACCAGACACAUCACAUUAACUGUAUCUGAAUCUCACCUGAACCGUAGAAAUGCAGACGGUG